AGAAUUUGCAACUGAGAACCCACUAAAGGAAUGCAUGCCUUGGCUCCAGCCUGCUGACCUGCGGAGGUGUCUUCCUUCUGCCUGGCUGGGACUCCUGUGUGUUGCAGAGCUGGCUGGCUGCACAGGAGACCUUGGAUGCCACAUUUCUGGGGACUUCUUCUUUCUUUUCCCCACCCUCACAUGGUCCCAACCUUAAAGAGGCAGUGUUAGAGAUAGGGCUGGGUAGAGAUGGCUGCAGGUUUGCUGUCCCUGGGAGGCCUGGGGCUGGUGAGUGGCCCCUCUGUGUUGGCCUCACUGUCCUGUACCUUAGCCUUCCUUCCCAAGAAGGGGUUGCCUGUUCAGGUGCCUGGCAUUUCUGACCUGGGGCCUCUGGCUUUCUCUUCUGCAUAGUGCCUUCCCCAGAGAUGGCUGCACAGAGGGUCAGUGUGGUGGCACCUCUAUCUUCUCCAUGGCAUCACCCUCCCUCUGGUCACAUCGAACUGCCCACAAGAGUGAAGCAGAGGGGUGGUGGGAAAUUCCCGUGCGGCUGCUGCUGAUGUCUUGUGCCAUCGAGGCCCUGCAUAGUCUGUUGGAAGGGAAAAAACAAAAACAGGAAAGUAACCUUCAUCAUCCUCCCCUCACCCCUUUGAAUGCCAAGCAGAGGCCUCCUCCCAGCCCUGGAAGAAACCUCGGCUGUGUCCUCGUGCUGUAGCGUCGGAGAGAAAGAUGACCAGAGCCCAGCGGCUGCAUACCUAAGCUUCCAUGCUCUAGUGGCCACAUUAGAAAAAGUAAGAUGGAACAGGUAGAAUUAACUUUAAUAAUGUAUUGUGUUUAGCCCCAAGAUCUCUAAAACAUUAUCUCUUAAACAUACAUUAAUACAACAAUUUUUGAGAUACUUUACUUUCUGUUCCAGUUCUUUGAAGUUUGAUGUGUAUUUUACACUCACAGCACAUUGCUAUUUGGACCAGCCUUGGUUUGAGGGCUCAGUUGCCACAUGUGGCCCUCAAUAUCAAGGGGUGGGUAUCAAGGA
rnacentral:lncRNA from 1 species